rnacentral:rRNA from 1 species
GAUGAACGCUGGCGGCGUGCCUAAUACAUGCAAGUCGAGCGAACGGACGAGAAGCUUGCUUCUCUGAUGUUAGCGGCGGACGGGUGAGUAACACGUGGAUAACCUACCUAUAAGACUGGGAUAACUUCGGGAAACCGUAGCUAAUACCGGAUAAUAUUUUGAACCGCAUGGUUCAAAAGUGAAAGACGGUCUUGCUGUCACUUAUAGAUGGAUCCGCGCUGCAUUAGCUAGUUGGUAAGGUAACGGCUUGCCAAGGCAACGAUGCAUAGCCGACCUGAGAGGGUGAUCGGCCACACUGGAACUGGGACACGGUCCAGACUCCUACGGGAGGCAGCAGUAGGGAAUCUUCCGCAAUGGGCGAAAGCCUGACGGAGCAACGCCGCGUGAGUGAUGAAGGUCUUCGGAUCGUAAAACUCUGUUAUUAGGGAAGAACAUAUGUGUAAGUAACUGUGCACAUCUUGACGGUACCUAAUCAGAAAGCCACGGCUAACUACGUG